rnacentral:rRNA from 1 species
CUACGGGUUGCUGCAGUGGGGAAUCUUAGACAAUGGGGGAAACCCUGAUCUAGCCAUGCCGCGUGAGCGAUGAAGGCCUUAGGGUUGUAAAGCUCUUUCAGUGGGGAAGAUAAUGACUGUACCCACAGAAGAAGCCCCGGCUAACUCCGUGCCAGCAGCCGCGGUAAUACGGAGGGGGCUAGCGUUGUUCGGAAUUACUGGGCGUAAAGCGCACAUAGGCGGAUCAGAAAGUCAGAGGUGAAAUCCCAGGGCUCAACCUUGGAACUGCCUUUGAAACUCCUGAUCUUGAGGUCGAGAGAGGUGAGUGGAAUUCCGGGUGUAGAGGUGAAAUUCGUAGAUAUUCGGAGGAACACCAGUGGCGAAGGCGGCUCACUGGCUCGAUACUGACGCUGAGGUGCGAAAGCGUGGGGAGCAAACAGGAUUAGAUACCCGUGUAGUC